UACAGAGGGUGCAAGCGUUAAUCGGAAUUACUAGGCGUAAAGCGUGCGUAGACGGUAGCGUAAGUCGGGUGUGAAAGCCCCGGGCUCAACCUGGGAAUUGCAUUCGAGACUGCUCUGCUAGGGUGCGGAAGAGGGAAGCGGAAUUUCCGGUGUAGCGGUGAAAUGCGUAGAUAUCGGAAGGAACACCAGUGGCGAAAGCGGCUUCCUGGUCCAGCACCGACGUCAGGCACGAAAGCGUGGGGAGCAAACAGGAUAGAAACCCGUAGU
rnacentral:rRNA from 1 species